GACGAACGCUGGCGGCGUGCUUAACACAUGCAAGUCGAACGGAGUGGCGAACGGGUGAGUAACACGUGGGGGAUCUGCCUUGCACUUCGGGAUAAGCUUGGGAAACUGGGUCUAAUACCGGAUAGUGCAAGAUGAGCUCGCGGCCUAGCAGCGUGUUGGUGGGGUAAUGGCCUACCAAGGCGCCGACGGGUAGCCGGCCUGUGAGGGUGUACGGCAUCAUUGGGACUGGGAGACGGCCCAGACUCCUACGGGACGCAGCAGUGGGGAAUAUUGCACAAUGGUCGGAAGCCUGAUGCAGCGACGCCGCGUGGGUGAUGAAGGCCUUGGGGUUGUAAACUCCUUUCGACAGGGACGCGGUACCUGUAUAAGAAGCACCGGCUAACUACGUGCCAGCAGCCGCGGUAAUAC
rnacentral:rRNA from 1 species